GUGUGUGUAUGUAUAUAUAUAUGUAUAUAUAUUUUAUAUAUAUACAUAUAUAUAUUUUUUAUAUAUACAUACAUAUAUAAAAAAGCUCAUAGUGAAAACCUGUGUGUCAGAUUUCUAGAUAUAUAAGCCUUAGUGAGACCUAGCACCUUUUUACUAGAACUAGGCACUCUGGAAUCAUCUCUAUCACCUCCUCCCCUGUUCUCUGCUCCCUCCUCUUUUUUUUCUUUUUUUUUCUUCUCUUUUCUCCUUCCCCCUCUGCUUCCUGCUUCUUUUUUUCUCUGGUGCAAUUAAAACAAAUCUCAAGAGCUAACUCUGCACCUCAGAGCUUCCCUGGCAUUACUGAAUGGUGCGUGGCCAGCUCAAAAAUCUAACGCAUCAUUCCAACUAGUGUAACUUCCCAAACAUGCAGCUACAUGCUCCAAAGCAAUGCUUAGCUGUUGUUAGCGUGCUGCCUUUGAACAUUAAAUAUGCCAAAUCCAUGGUGUCUGUAGCUGUGAGGACGUGCCCAGAGAUGCUACCAGUAGUCUGCUGUGAUAAGCAGUCUUAUUAUAUACUCUUGGCCCAUAAUGGUGACAGGUGACAUUUUGCCUAAACAGUGUCAGGGGUAAUCCAUCACUGGUUACCCCUAAUCACUAUCUGCCUUUCUAUGGGGAUCAUGUCCUUUCAAUACCAUUCAGAACGUGCCUUAGCUAAUGUAAUUUCUGGCUCUGAGAUAUAUCAGGGGAGACAAAGUCUAGAUCACUCACCAUAGGAAACCAGAGGAGCGUAUUUUGCAUUAGCAAAACGUGGAUGCUUACAUAGAUGUCACCUAACAUAGGUCUCCAGUGUGGUCCCAUUUACAUGUCUACUAUAAUUGCUCUAUGUUCUCAUAUUCUCAGCUUUAAAAUCAUCAAUAAAAAAUGAAUUAAAUAACACUGUUUUCUUUUAGCCCAGGGUGCACUGCCCAAAUCACCCCUUAGAACAAACACUGCCCUUCACCCCGCUGUCCAGACUUUUGACCCCUGACCCAUCACAGACAAGUCCCUCAACAGGAAUUGCCCUUGACUGAAGGCAGUUUCCUUACUGAGGUUUGUCCCCAACUCUGGAGGUGGGGAGGGUGAGGGAAGCUCACAUUCAACGAUGGGUGGCUAGAGAGGGUUCAAAGGUCUGGCCCCCUCACCUCCACUGGGACGACUCUAUAAGUUUAUCCCAGUCACAGAGCUUCCUAUAGGAUCAGCUGAUGCCCUGUGUGUCUUGAGGCUGCACUUGCAAAGCAAGCACACACUAAUACUAUUUGUUGGGGUCACGUGGCAGGAGGCUUAUGGAAAUUACAGAGGACCCCUCAGCCCUGAGCCAUCUUUGAAAUGGCCAUGCUUGUGAUAUGGGAAGAUAUUAUUUUUAUAGAAAUUGGGAACUGAACCAAGUUUCUUAUUACCACAGCAUCUGCAGGUUGUUCUUUAUCGGAAGCCACCAGUCCCUUCCCAACCACCUGAAAACACUUAUCUGAGGCUAUUUUCAUGGCGUAACUGGUCCUGGUGGUAGAGUUAGUGCUACCAUUUCUACCGUCAUUACCAUCCUGUUCUUCCACCCCAGGGGGACGGAGCCCCAGAGUAACUGAAAUGGGCCUUUCUCUGAGAGGUUGGUGAUUUCUUCAGCAGCCUGCCUGGCAUGUGACAUGGGAGCUUUCAGCAUGGCGAGGAAGGGGAGAGGAGGGGCUGGAGGUGGCAGGUACAGAUAGGUAGUCUGCCAGGAGCGGAGUUCAGAGAUUUAGAUCUUAGCCCGGCAUUGCUGCGUGGGCCUUGGCAAGCACUCCUCAUUUUAUCACACAGCACUCUACCUCCGUUUCUAUAACCUCCUGCAGCCUUCCUCCCAAGCAGCGUGGGAAGACAAAAACAGCUGUGCACGUUAGCAGCUUCAGCUGUUCCCACAGCAGCGCUACGCUGCAAUAUCCCAGGGGUCAUCAAAUAUUUAGGAGGAUGUUGCAGACCUUUGUAUCAUGGCCAGAAAUGCCAUGUGCUCAGGUCUGGAUUCCACUGGGUUCUUGUUCGCGUUAGCAGAAACUCGUGAUGAAAAGGAAAUGGCUCUUUUACCAAAUUGUACCGCACUAUAAGAUCAACUGUGUCUUCAUGCUCACCAGAUACAGCUACAGCUUUUAAGUUUCUUGUUAGAGAAAAUAACUAAGCGAGAACAAUACUGGAAUCAGAGUCUGUCCCAGAUGCAAAACACUUUAGAAUAUUUAUUUCUCAUUAUAAUCUAUUCAUUAAAUGUCAUAGCCUGGCCCUCUGGGGAGAGUCACAUACUACAACCCGUACUGGAGAUGAGGUUGUGUAUUUAAAGUCGGCCUUGGCUGAUAAAUGUGGAAAACUACAAGCUGCCUGAAAAUUCCCUGGUGAUGGUUGAUGCUGGAGAAUGCAGCUGGGGAUGCUGAGAAGUAUGUGCUAUUACAGCAAAGUGUGGUCUAAAUUUCCACUAAAUAUUUCCUUUCAGAUGUGUGACUUCUUUGGGGGAGAGAUAUAUAGCUCUUGUAAUCAGGGACUAGAAUACCCACUUUGGUAAAAUUUGUUCUCAAUUUAAAGUUGUUUUCUUUUUUUCUUAACACAGCUAAAAUGCCUUUAGAGUUUUGUCUUUUUCUGGAUGACUGCAAAGCCAAUUUUUAGAGACCUGCAUUGUAGCUUAAUAUUAUGUCAUUGGUUCAGUGUCAGCCAAUGGGAAGAUUAAGUGGAUUUCCAUAUCCAUAACGGCCAUCUUCAGUCCAGUUCUAGUCAACAUUUCCUUAAUGACUGGAAUGAUGGAAUAGGAAUCUGUUCAUUAAUUUUGCCAAUAAAAACAACUGGUGGGUGGCUUGUGUUUUAGACAGCCAGUCUUGAACUGUAUUAAACAAAGAAGAAAUGGAUGAUUAAAAACCAUAGAAGUUUAGAGAGUGGUUACCAGGUAGUAUUAGGGAGAACCACUAAAUUGCAUAGCACAAAAGGGUACCUAGUUCCUGGGACAUAGGCAUUGUAGGCAAUGACUUGAAGGCCAUAACGGACCCCAAACCAUAGCAAAUGGAAAAUCAAGAUGUAUAUCUUGAAAUAACCAAGUUAGCGUCUACAAUUCCAACACUGGGUCUUUUGACUGCUUCCUGGUUAUGAAACAUUUACUCUGCACUGGAGGUGGUGAAAAUGGAUCCCUUUGCAAUUUUGAUGAAGGCUGGUGUUGACUUUACAAAAUCCAGAUUGCAAAAAGCCCUGGAGUAAUGGUUUCAGUGGGAAGAAAGGACCUAACUAGAUAUACGGAUUUAGAGUAGAAAGCUGUCAACGCUCUCAAUUGAGUCAAAAGAUUCAGUUCCUGGCUCAGAUUUGAUUUAACUGGCUAAGUGACCUUGAACAAGUCCCCAAACAUCUUGGGUCCUCUAUUUCUUAGCCUAGAAAUGAGGAGUUGCAUUAGUACAGAGAUUCUCAAUCUGUGGUCCUUAGAGAGUAACGGGAGACUGAACCAUUUUCAGUGCUUAGAAAACCUAAAGAAAUAGUCUAUUUCCUAAUAAGGAGGCCAUAUAGACUAUUAUUUAAUUAACCCUGAUGAUAGAUGAAAACUUUUGAAACAUGAGUACACAUAGGAAAAAUAAUAAAAGUCUUUUUCUUGGUAAUCAAAAGGCAGGAAGCAUUUCAGUCUCUAAACUAAGGCUUAUGAUGACCCUGGUUCCCAACAGAACUGAGAAACCCUGAAGACACUGCAUUUGUAUUGCAUGAAGAGGGAGCCAGGGAAACAUCUCUCGGGGGCAGGCUGGCUUUGGGUGCAAGAUUAGAAGGAAGGCAGGGGGUAUCACUAAUACUAGCUAUGUGACAGCCACUUAUCUAAAUGCAUUAUUUCAUUUAAUCCUCAAAACCAGGUACUGUUAAUAUCCCACCUUGAAGAUGAGGAAUCUGAAGCACAAAGGUAACACUUACUAAACUCUUUAAAUGGUAGUUAUUAUUACUAACCAUCUGGAUUGUUCCCAGUGGCCAUUAAUCCCACAGAAAUGAGAGGGGCUGGAUAAAGAGAAGAAAAAAAAGGCUUCUCAUCUUCAGGCUUCUUCAAGGAGAAAAUUUAUGGUCUCUGGACUAGAGGACCUAUGUUCCAGGUUUCCGCAGGGUCUGGUUGGAGUCCACCUGGUUCCUGAGCAAAUCCUACUUUAGUAACAACAAAAUUCGAUUAAUCAUCAUCAUCGUCGUCGUCGUCAUCAUCAUCAGUAGCAGCAGCAGCAGACACCCAACAUUUCUCAAACAAAGAAUAGUUUACAAAUACCUUCAUGUGUGGGGAACCAUUUGCUCUUCUUCAACUGCCUUCUAUGGCCAGGCGGGGUAUGUAAGAAUGUUAUCAGGACACUGAGCCACUACCUGGUGUAGAUCAAUGCAAACUGUGAUGUCGUGUUCACUAUACCCUUAAAUGAGACCUAUACCUGAGGAAUCCUUUCUCGAGAUGGGCUCAGACAUUAUGGAUAUGAGAGGAAGUCUGCUGGCCUGGAGCAUGAAAACAGCAAGGAUUGAAAUAUAUAAGCAGAGAGAAGAAUUCUGUACGUUAGUGUUAUGUUUCUGAGUUUCUCCUGGGACGAGGGUGAUUCAUUAUAUAAACAGGGAUGAGAUCACAUGGGCCGAUCAGGAUCUACAAUAAAUCUUGAGACAACUCCAGGAAGGGUACUCUGUGGUGUUAGCAAUCAAAUGUAAGGAGACCACACCAUCCCCUUCUUAAGUAUCAAUGGCAACAAAGUGAAAGCACACAGGUGUCUGAUUUGUUCUUUCUAAUUCGCUAUGAUGACUUGAGGAAGUGUGGCUGCCAAGUGCCGGCUCCUAGUGUGCAUAAAGGCAGUGAUUUCAUGAGAACUAUCAGAAGAUUAAAAAAUUCAAAGAUGAAGGAUGACAAGAAAGAUGAACUGAACUAAAGUAAUUAGUGUUCAUCACAGUACUAUGUGCUGCUGUAUUGACCCGCUAUGAUCAGUUCCAACAAGAGGCCACGAAUAUACGUACAAAAUGGAAGAAACUGAACAAGGUGGAGAGAUGGGUUGGAGAAGAGGGGAAGUGGCUCUGGGCCACCAUGGCUAUCUGUGACCAGGCAGGCACUACACCAGUACAUUUUAAUGCCUUUGUAUUUGUCCUUACACUUGGCUAGUCCUAUUAGUAAGUGACAUGCUUGAUGGUUUGUUGUUUUCCUUAAUUUCCUAGAGAAAAGGUCUCUGAAAACUCUAAACUUUUCUGAGUGAAACUAAAAGAAACCGUUCCCCCC